GGAGAUGUAGCUCAGAUGGUAUAGCGCUCGCUGCUUAGCAUGCGAGAGGUACUGGAAUUAAUACCCAGCAUCUCCA